GUCUUCCCACCUGCACUUCUUGUGCUGGGUAUUUCACAGUUAAUGGUGAACAGGAAGGAUCUGGAGGCGACCUGGUGCUUUGGGAGGUGGGGUGGAGGGCUCGGCUGGGCGCCUUGCAAUGACGGCAUCCUCUUGAUGCUGAUACAGAAGGAAGGGUCAUAGCCAUGCCAGGACAGUGACAGCAGGGGCAGCUGCCACCGCCCCCUCCCCUGGCACAUGCCACUUGACUCAGUGCCUAAAGAUAACAAAACAGAGCCAUAGGAAAACAGAAGAAUUCCAUUAGCCGGAGCAGUCGUCCUCAGGAAGAGGCACACAGGCUUCAACCUGCCAAAGUUCCCCCAACGUGUGUUCCUUGCCAUGACACCGCUGCAGUCCUUCCUGGUCUUUUGUUAACUGAUCACCUGUCUGGGCAGCAAGAAUUGACAGCUUCAACUGGAAAACUCAUUUAGGUGGAGUUCUGAGCAAGUCUGCUAAUGAUGAACUUCCUUCUUCAGUCCCAUACGACUGGAUACACCUCUGCAUUUAAAGAUAGAAUGAAGGGCCUGUGAAAAAGAGGGAACUCCCCAGACGAACGCAGGGAAGGGGAGAAGGUCAGGCCCCCGCGGGAGGAGCGUGUGUGGUCCUUUCUGCGCAGGAGCAAAGCAAGCCAGGGCUCGAAAAGGUUCUUGACAGAAACCGUCUCCAGUGUUUCCAUUGCCUCAACGCAGCUCGGAGGACUUCUCUGCCCACUGUGGUCUGGCUGCCCCCCCGCUCCCGGCACCCACUCCUCCUGGAAGGGCUGCUCCUGCCAAGGUCGUCAACAACCUCCUUGCUCCAGACCAUGCCCAGCGCGCCUCCUUGGUCCGCACUGUCCUUGGCAUCCUGUCUCCGGGGACCAGCUCCCAGGCUCGGCUCCUGCCUCUGCACCGCCUCCCUCUCCAUCUCUGUUGCAGGCUCUCCUUCCCACCCCCGGCCUUGAACACAGCCCUCCUCUGCUUUUUCCCCAUCACAACGGGGCUAUUUCUCCUGUGUGUCGCAGGCACCGAAUUUCAUUAUGUCACAAGCGGAGCGAUGCCUCUCAUACCCCCACCCAUACCUGCCCAGACCUGAGAGCUGCUGUCCUAUGCUCCCCGCCCAGGAAAGCCACCAUCGUCCACAAGGGGGCUUGUCCCCUCCCCCCCCCCCCGUCCCCCACAAAUCGUUGCCCAGAGCUGCCCUUGACCUUUCAGAUCCCCUCACCUCUGCCUCCUUCCAUCCACCCCGGAUGCCACGAUUCCUGCCUGGAUUCCUGGAAGUGCCCCCUCACUAGUCUCCCUUCUCUCCAACCACUUCUCCAAACCACAGACCGAAUGCUCUUUCUAAAAUGAAAAUCUUGGAGUUCCCAUGGUGGCUCAGCAGGUGAAGAACCCAACAUAGUGUCCAUGAGGAUGCGGGUUCGAUUCCUGGCCUCGCUCAGUGGGUUAAGGAGUAGGCAUUGCUGCAAGCUGCAGUGUAGGUGGCAGAUGCUGCUGAGAUGCCAUUGCUGUGGCUGUGGCUAGGCUGGCAGCUGCAGCUCCCACUGACCCCUAGCCUAGGAACUUCCAUAUGCCGCAGGUUCAGCCCUUGAAAGAAAAAAUAAAAUAAUAAAAUAAAAUAAAAUCUGUUCA
rnacentral:lncRNA from 1 species